UUGACGGGGGCCCGCACAAGCGGAGGAACAUGUGGUUUAAUUCGAUGAUACGCGAGGAACCUUACCCGGGCUUGAAAUGCAUCUGACCGGCCUUGAAAGAGGCAAUCCCUUCGGGGCAGAUGUGUAGGUGCUGCAUGGUUGUCGUCAGCUCGUGCCGUGAGGUGUCGGCUUAAGUGCCAUAACGAGCGCAACCCUCAUCAUUAGUUACCAUCAGGUCAAGCUGGGGACUCUAAUGAGACUGCCAUCGUAAGAUGCGAGGAAGGUGGGGAUGACGUCAAAUCAGCACGGCCCUUACGUCCGGGGCGACACACGUGUUACAAUGGGUGGUACAAAGGGCAGCUACCUGGCGACAGGAUGCUAAUCUCCAAAACCGCUCUCAGUUCGGAUCGGAGUCUGCAACUCGACUCCGUGAAGCUGGAUUCGCUAGUAAUCGCGCAUCAGCCACGGCGCGGUGAAUACGUUCCCGGGCCUU
rnacentral:rRNA from 1 species